rnacentral:rRNA from 1 species
AUCUAUGGCCAUGCCAACCUGAACACACCCGAUCUCAUCUGAUCUCGGAAGCUAAGCAGGGUUGGGCCUGGAUGGGAGACCAUCUAGGAAGUCUGGGUGCUAUAGGUG